UGAGGUUCUGGGGUAACAAACCUGUGUUUUCUUCAUCUUUCCGUGUGAGAGAGUGCAACACGGCUGUAGUUAUGCCCCCUGAGUGAAGAACUGUCACAGACAGAUCUUAGCAGCUGGCUUGUUGUCCCACACACCUCUCAGUGGAGCAGAAGAGAGCUUAAUGGACCCACCACAGAGAAAGAAAUUGAGAAUAAAGAAAUGUGUCUCAUCUCAAGAUGAUAUGAAAAAGACUUCUGAAGUUAUCUUAAGUUCAAUGGAGAAUUGCAGUGGAGCAGGAGUAAUUCUUCUCUCUGGAGCCCCUGGGAGCUCUGACUUUAUUUGCAGGAGAAGUUGGACUGAAUUCUGACGUAAUAAGAACUCUAACUACAUCAUGCCUCCGUCUCCAGCAGAAGGGCAGGAAGAUGCCUAGAAACUGAACUUCUUAGCUGGGAUUAUCUCAUAAGGCAACCUUAAAUUUUGGCAGCAAGUCAAAGGUUUACAGCACAUCAGGAAAU